GCCGAGCUCAGCAGCGCGAGCUUGUAACUCAAGCGAGGGCGUUAGUGUGGUUGGAGAUUGGCCUGGCUGGGUUGGUAGGGCUUGGUGGGGUGAUUUAACUGGCUUGCCCGUUCCAAGUAGGGAGUUGUGCCCCGAUAUUCGGGCUAAGGCCUGGGUGUUUGGGUUCCUAAAGCUGGAGGGCACCGCGUGAGGCUGGUUUCACAGAGCAGCGUUCACCUCCCGCUCUCUUCGGUGGAUGGACAACGGGCCGGGACCCUUCAAGCCCAACAACGCCUACCCAGCCUCUCUCAACCCGACAACCACAUUU
rnacentral:SRP_RNA from 1 species